AUCUAACUGACGAGGCUUAAAUAGGAUGAAACGCGCGUCCUGGAU
rfam:Schistosoma mattheei strain Denwood, Zambia genome assembly, scaffold: SMTD_scaffold0001515